UUCGCGGUGAGUAUGGUGGUUGGUAUUCCUGCCUGUCACGCAGGAGACCCGAGUUCAAUUCUCGGCCGUGGAA
rnacentral:tRNA from 1 species